rnacentral:rRNA from 1 species
UACGGAGGGUGCAAGCGUUAUCCGGAUUCACUGGGUUUAAAGGGUGCGUAGGUGGGUUGGUAAGUCAGUGGUGAAAUCCCCGAGCUUAACUUGGGAACUGCUAUUGAUACUAUCAGUCUUGAAUAUUGUGGAGGUGAGCGGAAUAUGUCAUGUAGCGGUGAAAUGCUUAGAUAUGACAUAGAACACCAAUUGCGAAGGCAGCUCGCUACACAUAUAUUGACUCUGAGGCACGAAAGCGUGGGGAGCAAACAGG